rnacentral:rRNA from 1 species
AUGGAGUGCAACAAGGAUGAGGCCCUAAGGGCGAAGGAAAUUGCAGAGAGGAAGUUCCAAUCCAGGGACCUGCAGGGGGCCAAGAAAUUCGCCCUCAAGGCCAAGGCUCUCUUUCCGGAUCUUGAAGGUAUUGUGCAGAUGAUCACUACCUUGGAUGUUUACCUCACUUCGGAGGUGAAGAUUGCUGGUGGGAAGGACUGGUACUCUAUCCUUUCCGUGGACAUGUCGGCAGAUGAUGAAACUCUGAAGAAGCAGUACAGGAAGUUGGUGCUUCAGCUCCAUCCCGACAAGAACAAGUCAGUUGGUGCUGAGGGUGCUUUCCAGAUGGUUCAAGAGGCAUGGACCGUGCUGUCUGACAAAACCAAGAGAGCGCUGUUUGACCAAAAAAUGAAAUUGAUUGCAAUGCAACAGAGGACAUCUCAAUCAAAUAAGACAAGUGCAGCCAAUGGCUUUGAACAUUUCGCAGCCAAAGCACCCGCUUCCAAGGCAAGUGCAAACAAAGAAAAGACAGGAUCAGCAACAUCUGNNNNNNNNNNNNNNNNNNNNNNNNNNNNNNNNNNNNNNNNNNNNNNNNNNNNNCCACCCCCACCCCCACAGCGGCCGCUUCCUCGCCAUCAGGCUGCUGCUCCAGCUCCACCUCCAGCAGCACAACCUACAUUUUGGACCUCAUGCAACAGGUGCAAGAUGAAUUUUGAAUACCUCAGAGAGUAUUUAAAUCGCAAUCUGCUUUGCCCUAGCUGCCGUGAGCCAUUCAUAGCAAAAGAGGUGCCGAUGCCACCACCUGAGGUUGUUCAGGCAGUACGUGAUUCAAACAUCCGUGGUGCAACUGAAGAUGCAAGCACUGGCAGAAAGUUUCAGUGGGGUCUGUUCUCAAGGACAGCUGGUCCAGCUAGUGCUACUGCAUCAUCUGCUGCUGGUGUUCAAGCUGCUAAUAUGGUUCAGCAGACGUAUGAGAAAGUCAAGAGAGAGAGGGAGGAGGCGCAAGCUGCAGCAAGAAGGGAAGAAGCUCUUCAGAGGAAGCACAAUCCUCUAAAAAGGAAAGGAAAUGUGUCCGAGAAUGUUAACCAUGGAAUGGGUGAUGUUGCAUCUGGAAAGAAGAUGAAAACUGUGGGUAACGAUGCUGGAGUUGGUUCUUCCUCUAUUCUCUCAGGUCCAUGGGCCAAUUAUGUUGGAACACAAGGUGGAACUAUACCAUUUUCAACCAACAGUGGAGCCUUUGAGUUUCAAGGUGCUAAUGGCGUGAUACCGAAUUGGAGACCCAGGCCUUCUACUCGGAUCAGCAUAACUAGGACUUUCUCUAAGAAGGAUAUUAGGAGCAUUUUGAUUGACAAGAUGAAGAGCGAUUUGAUGGAGAAUCUAAAGGAGAUAAGAAGUAAACCACUCCAAGUUACAGUUAAUGGAAAAGCUAGCGAGAAACAUGUGGUUAACGAACAUGUUGAGGGUAAUGAAACUCUUGCAUCAGAUGAUUCUACUGCAAACAAAGAUGUCUGUGCUGAUCCAGAGGAGAAAGGUUCUGCUAAUAGCGCAGAUGCUGAAAAUGAAGAUGACAACACUUUCUCCUAUACUGUUCCUGAUCCUGAUUUCCAUGAUUUUGACAAGGAUCGUACUGAGGAAUCUUUUCAGAGUGAUCAAAUUUGGGCUUCAUAUGAUGAUGAAGAUGGUAUGCCCCGUUAUUACGCAUACAUUCAGAAAGUUAUCUCCUUGACUCCAUUUAAGGUCAAAAUAAGUUAUCUUGCAUCGAGGACAAAUAGUGAAUUUGGACCAUUGAACUGGGCUUCUUCCGGCUUCAUAAAGACAUGCGGUGAUUUCAGGAUUGGUAAAUACGAAACCGUAGAUAUAAUCAACAUGUUCUCUCACCAGAUUAAAUGGGAGAAAGGUCCACGUGGGGUGGUCAAAAUUUAUCCGCGGAAAGGCGAUAUCUGGGCCUUGUACCGAAAUUGGUCCCCUGAUUGGAAUGGAGAUACUCCUGAUAAUGUGCUUCAUGUUUAUGAUCUGGUUGAGUUUUCCAGCAUCAUCAGGACCGGGAUGUCAUCAAGAGGAUUCCAAAAGGAGAGAUGUUUCGGUUUUCACAUCAGGUUCCCUUUUACAGGAUGUCAGGGGAAGAAGCUCCAAAUGUCCCCAAAGGUAGCUAUGAGGUAG